AUAUAUGUCAUAUGUAUGUAGAAGGUAGUUUGUUUAGAGAAAAAAGAACGGAACUAAAGAAGCCUCUGAUUAGAGCCAUCGUUGUUCAAAUCACAUACUCUGGAAUGAGUAUUUUGGCAAAAGCUGCUUUUACUUCUAGUAUGAACAACUUCAUUUUUAUUUUCUAUAGGCAAGCUUUUGGAACUCUCUUCCUUGUCCCUCCUACCAUCCUUUUCAAAAGAAUGAUUGAAGUUAUAUCGGGUUGAAAGCUGAGCGAUUGUGUAGAUAGCCAGACGAUCGUUGAAGGUUGAAGAUUGAAGAUUGAGAAGACGUUUAGAAUUUUUCUUAUUUACGUCUUGUAUUAGGAUCUUUUUUCAUGUACUGUUGUAGAAUGUAUAUAUAAACACAAUAUUAAGUUUUCAUUUUGUGUAUACAAAUGUAAAAGAUAAAUAUUAUAGUUUCUAAAAUAAUAUUAAUUUUAUUGA